CAAAAAACCAGCCGCCGCCGCUCCGGCCGUAACCCCCAAAGUUUUACCCCGCCGAUGACGUGGCAAAACCACUUGUCAACAAGCACAAGCCAAAACCUUCAAAACUAAGAGCAAGAAUUACACCUGGAACCGUUUUGAUUAUCCUAUCUGGUAAGUUUAAGGGGAAAAGAGUUGUGUUCUUGAAACAGCUUGCGCACAUUUCCAUCCCACAGCAAAAAACCUGCCGCCGCCGCUCCGGUAAUAAAACCCCCAAAGUUUUAUCCCGCCGAUGACGUAGCAAAACCGCUUGUGAACAAACACAAGCCAAAACCUACAAAACUCAGAGCAAGCAUUACACCUGGAACCGUUUUGAUUAUCCUAGCUGGUAAGUUUAAGGGGAAAAGAGUUGUGUUCUUGAAACAGCUUGCGUCUGGGCUUCUGCUUGUUACUGGACCGUUUAAGCU
rnacentral:lncRNA from 1 species